GCCUGCCUGCCCUCUUGCUGUGCUCCUGCUUAAAGAAAUCAGUCCUUCCUUUCCGACUUAGUCCCCGGGAAGAAGUUUCAGCCUACGAGAUCUUAAAGCAACUUGUGCUACUUCAUUUGAAGAGAAUUAGGUAAUCAUUGAAAAGUUGAAGAUCAUCCAGCCGAAUUCAUAGAGAUUGGUAAUCAACCAGAGGUUCACGAGCAGACAUUUGACUGCUUACCUGUGAGUAGAGUUUAUGUGGUUUUGUUGGUGGGGAGGGCUCUGAUCUUAGCAAUUACAUAGCCUUUCUGCCUGAUUGUCUAAAUUCUUGCACCUAAAGAUGCAUUGUGAGAAACCAAGGGUUCUGCUAUGUCCUUCAUAGUUUAUUUACCAAGUAAUCUAACAAGUUUGAAAGAAUUGUUUACCUGUUUUG
rnacentral:lncRNA from 1 species